rnacentral:tRNA from 1 species
GGAGAAGUACCCAAGUGGUGAAGGGGCUCCCCUGCUAAGGGAGUAGGGCGUGAAAAUGUCGCGAGGGUUCAAAUCCCUCCUUCUCCGCCA